AAAACGACUCUCGGCAACGGAUAUCUCGGCUCUCGCAUCGAUGAAAAACGUAGCGAAAUGCGAUACUUGGUGUGAAUUGCAGAAUCCCGUGAACCAUCGAGUCUUUGAACGCAAGUUGCGCCCCAAGCCUUCUGGCCGAGGGCACGUCUGCCUGGGUGUCACAA
rnacentral:rRNA from 1 species